CCUCUGCCUACUGCCAGAUCUUUUCCUUCAGCGUUUCCAAGUCCUGAGUCACACACACGUGCAACUCUGGGGUGAAAGGCUCCUGCUUCUUCUGCAGAUUCCCGGAAUCAUCUGGGUUUGAAGCAUAUUCUGAUUUGUCCUUUUCACCACCAGGUACAGAGGCAACUCCUUCCAUAGAUUUCUUCACCAGUUUUCCUUAAUGGUCUACUUGGAACGUUUGAAAUUGUCUGGUUCUUUGGCACCCAAAUAUGAAGGUCACUUCAUUAAGGGCCAGAAUUUUCAUAGAGAGCAUUUGAGAAAAAAGAGCUCAAUAAAAUACCAAAAAAGAAAUAGAAGCAAGAACUACAGUAAAAGAAAUGCUAUUUAUAUAUGCAAAUGAAGAUUGAAGACAACUAUUAUCAACUUUCUACUCUUAAGAAUUAUUUAACUUUCUACUGCUAUUUAUGCAUUUGGACAUUGGUUUACCAUGCCACUUUUUUUAUGUAUUAAAAAAAAACUGUUGAAAAUUAAAAUGAUAUUAUACUUGUGUUGAGGCCAAAUAUAUAUUCCCAAAGUGUUCUAAAUUUGUUAUAGUGUUUUUACUCCUGAGUAAUCAAUAACAUUGAGUAAUAAAGACAGAAUUAUUUAUGUAUAAAUAAAAAUU
rnacentral:lncRNA from 13 species